AUUGAACGCUGGCGGCAGGCCUAACACAUGCAAGUCGAGCGGUUGAGGUAGCUUGCUACCGAUACAGCGGCGGACGGGUGAGUAAUACAUGGGAAUCUGCCUGGUAGUGGGGGACAACGUUUCGAAAGGAACGCUAAUACCGCAUACGCCCUACGGGGGAAAGGGGGGGAUCUUCGGACCUCUCGCUAUCAGAUGAGCCCAUGUCAGAUUAGCUUGUUGGUGAGGUAAAGGCUCACCAAGGCGACGAUCUGUAACUGGUCUGAGAGGAUGAUCAGUCACACUGGAAAUGAGACACGGUCCAGACUCCUACGGGAGGCAGCAGUGGGGAAUAUUGGACAAUGGGCGCAAGCCUGAUCCAGCCAUGCCGUGUGUGUGAAGAAGGCCUUAGGGUUGUAAAGCACUUUCAGUGGGGAGAAAGGCCUUUUACUUAAUACGUAAGAGGAUUGGACGUUACUCGCAGAAUAAGCACCGGCUAACUCUGUGCCAGCAGCCGCCGUAA
rnacentral:rRNA from 1 species